GUUUUCGGUAGACACAACAUCUUUAUUUUUAUGAGGUCCUGAGGAUGGAACCCAGCGCCACGCGCAUGCCAGGCGUUUUACCGCUUGAGCCACAUCCCCAGCCCAAGACUGAUUUUUUUAAUAGUAUCAAAUUUGGGAUCCUCAAAUUUGAUGUUAGGGAAACAUAUUCAUGUUUGCUUUAUCACACAUUUUUUAAGCUUAAAAAGCUCUUUCCAGCACUUGCUGAUACUCUGGGUAGUAUCAGCAGGUCCUCCAGAUGCUUAUCGCUUAGAUUUGUAUUCCCUAAUUCUGUCCAGAAGAGUUUCCGUAGAAGGUCAAGUUCCUUAUUAAAUGCCUCCGCAGUAACAUCCAUUUUCCUCCGCAAAAGUGCGGACAGAGAGAGAGCAGCGUUAGCGCAGUCCGCUCCCGACAUCAUAUUGAUAUAUAUUUACAAGAUUAUUUAUUGUUGGUAAUGCUUCAUAAAAAAUAAUAUCUACAUACUUGAAAAAAGAAUACAAGCCCUCCCUGUCAUCACCAUUAUUAUUUUCAGAGAUGACGAAUCAGCAAGGAUAAUCAUUCUCUUCAAAAAGUGUUCUGCAAUAUCAACUUCUUGUCCAAGUAUUAUUUGUUGUUCCAUAGUAGAAUUUUGUUGAGAAGUUUUACAGCGGGCUCAGGGAGCAAAUACGGUCUCAAGACUGUGCCUUCCGAAUAAAACAGUCCAGCCUCGGGGCUGUCCACGGCGAGGGGCCGAUGGGGGGAGGAACGCAAGAACAGACUGUACGCAGGCGGAACUAAGAACCCGGCUG
rnacentral:lncRNA from 1 species